GACAAGUUGAACUGCUCUGCUCGGAGAAAGGAUCGCUGGUGUAUACUUUCCCUCCGUUGUUUUCUCUUCCUUUGGGGUGAUUGAUGUACUCAAGCCAGUCAUUUCUACAGGGCGUGAAUGCCAGGGAACAUCAGACGUGGCAUGAAACCUCGAUAUUCCCGUCCUGAAAAUGAGAAAAGCCUCCCAAAAACUCCCGGAACUUGAGGUCGUGACAGUGUCGCUGACUCCUUGGGACAGCCCAGGGCUGUGUCUGUGAGCCCUGCGGGGCUCUGACGGCCGCGGGGGAGUGAGAGUGAGGAUUGGCAGGAGGUGGAGGAGGAGCAGCACAGAACACAGGUGUUUGCAGCUCUGUGUUAAGGAAGAACUGGAAGUGCACUGUGCCAGCAGCAGCCCUGGGAAGCAGACUGUUACAUCCUGGUAUGGUUUUACUAGUGAUUGGAGAUGCAAAGAGCAGGGAGGUGCUUGGGAGGUGCAAGGACUGCUAUGACCUCAUGUGGUUUUUUUAACCUGUGUGAAAGUUUGUCUUAAUUUUUAAAAAAAUGAGAACAAGAAUUAUACUAAGUCUAGAAGGCUUAUUUGUG
rnacentral:lncRNA from 1 species